rnacentral:lncRNA from 1 species
AACAGACCUGAUCCAUACAGAAUACCACAGAAUCAGCAUGAGCAAUCAAUCUCUUCUUAUAAACGGGGUUUAAGGACUCACAUGCCGGUAGGUUGGCAGGCAAGAGCAAGAAGGUAGCAAUAUCCAGCUGCAAUUUGUACCACAGGAAUGUUCUCAAGUGCACCAAGCAAAGGGUGAGGCUCCACAUCAUUCGGAUCGGUUUGGUGACCGAGUUUGGCAUCAUUGCCCCAAGCAAAUGUGUAAACCCUACCUUCCCUAGACAAUACAGCAGUAAAGAAGUUCCCAAUGGUAGCUUGCACAACAAAUAUGUCCUUCAAAGACUCA